GACGAACGCUGGCGGCGUGCUUAACACAUGCAAGUCGAGCGGAAAGGCCCUUCGGGGUACUCGAGCGGCGAACGGGUGAGUAACACGUGAGUAACCUGCCCCCUACUUUGGGAUAACCCCGGGAAAUCGGGGCUAAUACCGGAUAUGACCUGCUGCCGCAUGGUGGUGGGUGGAAAGAUUUAUCGGUGGGGGAUGGGCUCGCGGCCUAUCAGCUUGUUGGUGGGGUAAUGGCCUACCAAGGCGACGACGGGUAGCCGGCCUGAGAGGGCGACCGGCCACACUGGGACUGAGACACGGCCCAGACUCCUACGGGAGGCAGCAGUGGGGAAUAUUGCACAAUGGGCGGAAGCCUGAUGCAGCGACGCCGCGUGAGGGAUGACGGCCUUCGGGUUGUAAACCUCUUUCAGCAGGGACGAAGCGAGAGU
rnacentral:rRNA from 1 species